GAUGAACGCUGGCGGCGUGCCUAAUACAUGCAAGUCGAGCGAACAGACGAGGAGCUUGCUCCUCUGACGUUAGCGGCGGACGGGUGAGUAACACGUGGAUAACCUACCUAUAAGACUGGGAUAACUUCGGGAAACCGGAGCUAAUACCGGAUAAUAUAUUGAACCGCAUGGUUCAAUAGUGAAAGACGGUUUUGCUGUCACUUAUAGAUGGAUCCGCGCCGCAUUAGCUAGUUGGUAAGGUAACGGCUUACCAAGGCAACGAUGCGUAGCCGACCUGAGAGGGUGGUCGGCCACACCGGAACUGAGACACGGUCCAGACUCCUACGGGAGGCAGCAGUAGGGAAUCUUCCGCAAUGGGCGAAAGCCUGACGGAGCAACGCCGCGUGAGUGAUGAAGGUCUUCGGAUCGUAAAACUCUGUUAUUAGGGAAGAACAAAUGUGUAAGUAACUAUGCACGUCUUGACGGUACCUAAUCAGAAAGCCACGGCUAACUACGUG
rnacentral:rRNA from 1 species